rnacentral:rRNA from 1 species
AAGAGUUUGAUCCUGGCUCAGAUUGAACGCUGGCGGCAUGCCUUACACAUGCAAGUCGAACGGCAGCACGGGAGCAAUCCUGGUGGCGAGUGGCGAACGGGGGAGUAAUGUAUCGGAACGUACCUUUCAGUGGGGGAUAACGUAGCGAAAGUUACGCUAAUACCGCAUAUUCUGUGAGCAGGAAAGCAGGGGAUCUUAGGACCUUGCGCUGAUUGAGCGGCCGAUAUCAGAUUAGCUAGUUGGUGAGGUAAAGGCUCACCAAGGCGACGAUCUGUAGCGGGUCUGAGAGGAUGAUCCGCCACACUGGAACUGAGACACGGUCCAGACUCCUACGGGAGGCAGCAGUGGGGAAUUUUGGACAAUGGGGGCAACCCUGAUCCAGCCAUGCCGCGUGAGUGAAGAAGGCCUUCGGGUUGUAAAGCUCUUUCGGCCGGGAAGAAAUCGCAUCAGCUAAUACCUGGUGUGGAUGACGGUACCGGAAUAAGAAGCACCGGCUAACUACGUGCCAGCAGCCGCGGUAAUACGUAGGGUGCGAGCGUUAAUCGGAAUUACUGGGCGUAAAGCGUGCGCAGGCGGUUUUGUAAGACAGGCGUGAAAUCCCCGGGCUCAACCUGGGAACUGCGUUUGUGACUGCAAGGCUAGAGUAUGGCAGAGGGGGGUGGAAUUCCACGUGUAGCAGUGAAAUGCGUAGAGAUGUGGAGGAACACCGAUGGCGAAGGCAGCCCCCUGGGCCAAUACUGACGCUCAUGCACGAAAGCGUGGGUAGCAAACAGGAUUAGAUACCCUGGUAGUCCACGCCCUAAACGAUGUCAACUAGGUGUUGGGUGGGUAAAACCAUUUAGUACCGGAGCUAACGCGUGAAGUUGACCGCCUGGGGAGUACGGCCGCAAGGUUAAAACUCAAAGGAAUUGACGGGGACCCGCACAAGCGGUGGAUGAUGUGGAUUAAUUCGAUGCAACGCGAAAAACCUUACCUACCCUUGACAUGUCCAGGAGCCCUUAGAGAUUUGGGUGUGCCCGAAAGGGAACUGGAACACAGGUGCUGCAUGGCUGUCGUCAGCUCGUGUCGUGAGAUGUUGGGUUAAGUCCCGCAACGAGCGCAACCCUUGUCGUUAAUUGCCAUCAUUUAGUUGGGCACUUUAACGAGACUGCCGGUGACAAACCGGAGGAAGGUGGGGAUGACGUCAAGUCCUCAUGGCCCUUAUGGGUAGGGCUUCACACGUCAUACAAUGGUCGGUACAAAGGGUUGCCAACCCGCGAGGGGGAGCCAAUCCCAGAAAGCCGAUCGUAGUCCGGAUCGUAGGCUGCAACUCGCCUGCGUGAAGUCGGAAUCGCUAGUAAUCGUGGAUCAGCAUGUCACGGUGAAUACGUUCCCGGGCCUUGUACACACCGCCCGU